ACUCCUACGGGAGGCAGCAGUGGGAAUCUUAGACAAUGGGCGCAAGCCUGAUCUAGCCAUGCCGCGUGAUCGAUGAAGGCCUUAGGGUUGUAAAGAUCUUUCAGAUGGGAAGAUAAUGACGGUACCAUCAGAAGAAGCCCGGCUAACUCCGUGCCAGCAGCCGCGGUAAUACGGAGGGGCUAGCGUUAUUCGGAAUUACUGGGCGUAAAGCGCACGUAGGCGGAUCAGAAAGUCAGAGGUGAAAUCCCAGGGCUCAACCUUGGAACUGCCUUUGAAACUCCUGGUCUUGAGUUCGAGAGAGGUGAGUGGAAUUCCGAGUGUAGAGGUGAAAUUCGUAGAUAUUCGGAGGAACACCAGUGGCGAAGGCGGCUCACUGGCUCGAUACUGACGCUGAGGUGCGAAAGCGUGGGGAGCAAACAGGAUUAGAUACCCUCGUAGGCUCUG
rnacentral:rRNA from 1 species